CGGGAUAGCCACCGGAAACGGGUGAUUAAUACCGGAUACGACACAUCACUGCAUUGGGUGCGUGUGUGGAAAGUUUUUUCGCCCAGGGAUGUGCUCGCGGCCUAUCAGCUUGUUGGUGGGGUAAUGGCCUACCAAGGCUUCGACGGGUAGCCGGCCUGAGAGGGUGACCGGCCACACUGGGACUGAGACACGGCCCAGACUCCUACGGGAGGCAGCAGUGGGGAAUAUUGGACAAUGGGCGGAAGCCUGAUCCAGCAACGCCGCGUGAGGGAUGACGGCCUUCGGGUUGUAAACCUCUUUCAGCACAGACGAAGCGCAAGUGACGGUAUGUGCAGAAGAAGGACCGGCCAACUACGUGCCAGCAGCCGCGGUAAUACGUAGGGUCCGAGCGUUGUCCGGAAUUAUUGGGCGUAAAGGGCUCGUAGGCGGUUUGUCGCGUCGGGAGUGAAACACCGGGCUUAACUCGGUGCUUGCUUUCGAUACGGGCAGACUAGAGGCAUUCAGGGGAGAACGGAAUUCCUGGUGUAGCGGUGAAAUGCGCAGAUAUCAGGAGGACACCGGUGGCGAAGGCGGUUCUCUGGGAAUGUCCUGAC
rnacentral:rRNA from 1 species